CCUACGGGAGGCAGCAGUGAGGAAUAUUGGUCAAUGGGCGCGAGCCUGAACCAGCCAAGUCGCGUGAGGGAUGACGGCCCUACGGGUUGUAAACCUCUUUUGCCGGGGAGCAACGGGCGCCACGUGUGGCGCCACUGAGAGUACCCGGAGAAAAAGCAUCGGCUAACUCCGUGCCAGCAGCCGCGGUAAUACGGGGGAUGCGAGCGUUAUCCGGAUUUAUUGGGGUUAAAGGGUGCGUAGGCGGAACGUUAAGUAAGUGGUCAACUUUCGGGGCUCAACCCCUGCCCGCCAUUGAAACUGGCGCUCUUGAGUGGAAGAGAAGUAUGCGGAAUGCGUGGUGU
rnacentral:rRNA from 1 species